CCUGGCUUAGGAUGAACGCUAGCUACAGGCUAACACAUGCAAGUCGAGGGGCAGCAUGGGAGUUGCUGCAAUCCUGAUGGCGACCGGCGCACGGGUGAGUAACGCGUAUCCAACCUUCCCCUUAGUAGGGCAUAGCCCGGUGAAAAUCGGAUUAAUACCCUAUGUUCUUCACAGCAGACAUCUAACGUGAAGCAAAGGUUCACCGCUAAGGGAUGGGGAUGCGUCUGAUUAGGUAGUAGGCGGGUAACGGCCCACCUAGCCUUCGAUCAGUAGGGGUUCUGAGAGGAAGGUCCCCCACAUUGGAACUGAGACACGGUCCAAACUCCUACGGGAGGCAGCAGUGAGGAAUAUUGGUCAAUGGGCGAGAGCCUGAACCAGCCAAGUAGCGUGCAGGAUGACGGCCCUAUGGGUUGUAAACUGCUUUUAUAUGGGGAUAAAGUUCACCACGUGUGGUGUUUUGCAGGUACCAUAUGAAUAAGGACCGGCUAAUUCCGUGCCAGCCGCCGC
rnacentral:rRNA from 1 species